GCUGGGUGCAGUGGCAUAUGCCUGUAAUCCCAGCAGCUUGGGAGGCUGAGGCAGGAGGAUCAAGAGUUCAAAUCCAGCCUCAGCCAAAGCGAGGCCCUAAGCAGCUCAGGGAGACCCUGUCUCUA
rnacentral:sRNA from 1 species